CGGCAAGGCAACCUAGUUGGGUUACCUUGUCUUUUGUGGAGGUUUUGUUCCUUUGCUCUUUGCAAUAAAUUUUGCUGCUGCUAAGUAGUUGGGUCCGUGGUGCUUUAAAGAGCUGUAACACUCACUGCGGAGGUCUGCAGUUUCACUCCUGAAGCUAGUGAGACCAGGAGCCUGCCAGAAGGAAAAAACUCUGGACAUGUUCAAACAUCGGAAGGAACAAAUUCCAGACACACUAUCUUUAAGAACUGUAACACUCAACCGUGAGGGUCCGCGGAUUCAUUCUUGAAGUCAGUGAGACCAAGAACCCACCAAUUCCGGACACACCUGGAAUUCUUUGGAAGGCUGAAGCAAGAGGAUCAUUUGAGGCCAGGAGUUUGAGAAAUUCUAUGUGAUAUAAAGCAGAUGCAUAAAAUUUGCCCACAUCUGCAACUUACUUAUAAAAUGUUUUUUUCAAGAGACUGGAACUUCUAGUGCAUAAAUACAGUUUGGGUUUAAAAACCCAGAAUCCUGAAAAAAAUGGCUCUACUUAAAAAACGACUGUUUUUGGUAGUUGAACAGUAAUUUAAAGGGCUCUUCAGUGACGUUAGAAAUCAUUAAAUCCAAUUCUUUCCUUUUAAAUGUAAGGAAGCUGUUGAAGAAAAGUCCCAUGCUGUGUUUUAUGUUUUGAAGCCGAGGCCAAAUGUGGAGAUGGCAUAACCAGAAGAGGGAACGAACUGGCCUGGAUGUGACUCAUGCUUGGAAGGGAGCUGUCUGGAAGGACCACAGUACCUGCAGCCAACUUUGUGUGAGAAAGAAGUGAAGUAUAGCCAUUGAGUAGGCUGCCAAUAGUGCCUGCCAGAGACACUCAGGAGAGAUUAUAUGCUAAAUCCACCAGACCCUUUGUCUAAGGGCAGGACGUCACCUCUUCAGAAACUGUUUUUCUUCUUGUGGUAAUUAUUAAUUCUCUGCAGUGAUUUAGAAGAAUUCUUGUACUAAAU
rnacentral:lncRNA from 1 species